AUUGAACGCUGGCGGCAGGCUUAACACAUGCAAGUUGAGCGGAGAUGAGGUGCUUGCACCUUAUCUUAGCGGCGGACGGGUGAGUAAUGCUUAGGAAUCUGCCUAUUAGUGGGGGACAACAUUCCGAAAGGAAUGCUAAUACCGCAUACGCCCUACGGGGAAAGCAGGGGAUCUUCGGACCUUGCGCUAAUAGAUGAGCCUAAGUCGGAUUAGCUAGUUGGUGGGGUAAAGGCCUACCAAGGCGACGAUCUGUAGCGGGUCUGAGAGGAUGAUCCGCCACACUGGGACUGAGACACGGCCCAGACUCCUACGGGAGGCAGCAGUGGGGAAUAUUGGACAAUGGGCGGAAGCCUGAUCCAGCCAUGCCGCGUGUGUGAAGAAGGCCUUUUGGUUGUAAAGCACUUUAAGCGAGGAGGAGGCUACCUGGAUUAAUACUCUAGGAUAGUGGACGUUACUCGCAGAAUAAGCACCGGCUAACUCUGUGCCAGCAGCCGCCGUAAUAC
rnacentral:rRNA from 1 species